GUUAAGCGACUAAGCGUACACGGUGGAUGCCCUGGCAGUCAGAGGCGAUGAAGGACGUGCUAAUCUGCGAUAAGCGUCGGUAAGGUGAUAUGAACCGUUAUAACCGGCGAUUUCCGAAUGGGGAAACCCAGUGUGAUUCGUCACACUAUCAUUAACUGAAUCCAUAGGUUAAUGAGGCGAACCGGGGGAACUGAAACAUCUAAGUACCCCGAGGAAAAGAAAUCAACCGAGAUUCCCCCAGUAGCGGCGAGCGAACGGGGAGCAGCCCAGAGCCUGAAUCAGUGUGUGUGUUAGUGGAAGCGUCUGGAAAGGCGCGCGAUACAGGGUGACAGCCCCGUACACAAAAAUGCACAUGCUGUGAGCUCGAUGAGUAGGGCGGGACACGUGGUAUCCUGUCUGAAUAUGGGGGGACCAUCCUCCAAGGCUAAAUACUCCUGACUGACCGAUAGUGAACCAGUACCGUGAGGGAAAGGCGAAAAGAACCCCGGCGAGGGGAGUGAAAAAGAACCUGAAACCGUGUACGUACAAGCAGUGGGAGCACGCUUAGGCGUGUGACUGCGUACCUUUUGUAUAAUGGGUCAGCGACUUAUAUUCUGUAGCAAGGUUAACCGAAUAGGGGAGCCGAAGGGAAACCGAGUCUUAACUGGGCGUUAAGUUGCAGGGUAUAGACCCGAAACCCGGUGAUCUAGCCAUGGGCAGGUUGAAGGUUGGGUAACACUAACUGGAGGACCGAACCGACUAAUGUUGAAAAAUUAGCGGAUGACUUGUGGCUGGGGGUGAAAGGCCAAUCAAACCGGGAGAUAGCUGGUUCUCCCCGAAAGCUAUUUAGGUAGCGCCUCGUGAAUUCAUCUCCGGGGGUAGAGCACUGUUUCGGCAAGGGGGUCAUCCCGACUUACCAACCCGAUGCAAACUGCGAAUACCGGAGAAUGUUAUCACGGGAGACACACGGCGGGUGCUAACGUCCGUCGUGAAGAGGGAAACAACCCAGACCGCCAGCUAAGGUCCCAAAGUCAUGGUUAAGUGGGAAACGAUGUGGGAAGGCCCAGACAGCCAGGAUGUUGGCUUAGAAGCAGCCAUCAUUUAAAGAAAGCGUAAUAGCUCACUGGUCGAGUCGGCCUGCGCGGAAGAUGUAACGGGGCUAAACCAUGCACCGAAGCUGCGGCAGCGACGCUUAUGCGUUGUUGGGUAGGGGAGCGUUCUGUAAGCCUGCGAAGGUGUGCUGUGAGGCAUGCUGGAGGUAUCAGAAGUGCGAAUGCUGACAUAAGUAACGAUAAAGCGGGUGAAAAGCCCGCUCGCCGGAAGACCAAGGGUUCCUGUCCAACGUUAAUCGGGGCAGGGUGAGUCGACCCCUAAGGCGAGGCCGAAAGGCGUAGUCGAUGGGAAACAGGUUAAUAUUCCUGUACUUGGUGUUACUGCGAAGGGGGGACGGAGAAGGCUAUGUUGGCCGGGCGACGGUUGUCCCGGUUUAAGCGUGUAGGCUGGU
rnacentral:rRNA from 1 species